UGGGAAACCUGCCCAGAAGCGGGGGAUAACACCUGGAAACAGAUGCUAAUACCGCAUAACAACUUGGACCGCAUGGUCCGAGUUUGAAAGAUGGCUUCGGCUAUCACUUUUGGAUGGUCCCGCGGCGUAUUAGCUAGAUGGUGGGGUAACGGCUCACCAUGGCAAUGAUACGUAGCCGACCUGAGAGGGUAAUCGGCCACAUUGGGACUGAGACACGGCCCAAACUCCUACGGGAGGCAGCAGUAGGGAAUCUUCCACAAUGGACGAAAGUCUGAUGGAGCAACGCCGCGUGAGUGAAGAAGGGUUUCGGCUCGUAAAACUCUGUUGUUAAAGAAGAACAUAUCUGAGAGUAACUGUUCAGGUAUUGACGGUAUUUAACCAGAAAGCCACGGCUAACUACGUGCCAGCAGCCGCGGUAAUACGUAGGUGGCAAGCGUUGUCCGGAUUUAUUGGGCGUAAAGCGAGCGCAGGCGGUUUUUUAAGUCUGAUGUGAAAGCCUUCGGCUCAACCGAAGAAGUGCAUCGGAAACUGGGAAACUUGAGUGCAGAAGAGGACAGUGGAACUCCAUGUGUAGCGGUGAAAUGCGUAGAUAUAUGGAAGAACACCAGUGGCGAAGGCGGCUGUCUGGUCUGUAACUGACGCUGAGGCUCGAAAGUAUGGGUAGCAAACAGGAUUAGAUACCCUGGUAGUCCAUACCGUAAACGAUGAAUGCUAAGUGUUGGAGGGUUUCCGCCCUUCAGUGCUGCAGCUAACGCAUUAAGCAUUCCGCCUGGGGAGUACGGCCGCAAGGCUGAAACUCAAAGGAAUUGACGGGGGCCCGCACAAGCGGUGGAGCAUGUGGUUUAAUUCGAAGCUACGCGAAGAACCUUACCAGGUCUUGACAUACUAUGCAAAUCUAAGAGAUUAGACGUUCCCUUCGGGGACAUGGAUACAGGUGGUGCAUGGUUGUCGUCAGCUCGUGUCGUGAGAUGUUGGGUUAAGUCCCGCAACGAGCGCAACCCUUAUUAUCAGUUGCCAGCAUUAAGUUGGGCACUCUGGUGAGACUGCCGGUGACAAACCGGAGGAAGGUGGGGAUGACGUCAAAUCAUCAUGCCCCUUAUGACCUGGGCUACACACGUGCUACAAUGGAUGGUACAACGAGUUGCGAACUCGCGAGAGUAAGCUAAUCUCUUAAAGCCAUUCUCAGUUCGGAUUGUAGGCUGCAACUCGCCUACAUGAAGUCGGAAUCGCUAGUAAUCGCGGAUCAGCAUGCCGCGGUGAAUACGUUCCCGGGCCUUGUACACACCGCCCGUCGCA
rnacentral:rRNA from 1 species